CAGUCGAGGGGCAGCAUUUUAGUUUGCUUGCAAACUGAAGAUGGCGACCGGCGCACGGGUGAGUAACACGUAUCCAACCUGCCGAUAACUCCGGAAUAGCCUUUCGAAAGAAAGAUUAAUACCGGAUAGCAUACGAAUAUCGCAUGAUAUUUUUAUUAAAGAAUUUCGGUUAUCGAUGGGGAUGCGUUCCAUUAGUUUGUUGGCGGGGUAACGGCCCACCAAGACUACGAUGGAUAGGGGUUCUGAGAGGAAGGUCCCCCACAUUGGAACUGAGACACGGUCCAAACUCCUACGGGAGGCAGCAGUGAGGAAUAUUGGUCAAUGGGCGAGAGCCUGAACCAGCCAAGUAGCGUGAAGGAUGAAGGCUCUAUGGGUCGUAAACUUCUUUUAUAUGGGAAUAAAGUUUUCCACGUGUGGAAUUUUGUAUGUACCAUAUGAAUAAGGAUCGGCUAACUCCGUGCCAGCAGCCGCGGUAAUACGGAGGAUCCGAGCGUUAUCCGGAUUUAUUGGGUUUAAAGGGAGCGUAGGUGGAUUGUUAAGUCAGUUGUGAAAGUUUGCGGCUCAACCGUAAAAUUGCAGUUGAAACUGGCAGUCUUGAGUACAGUAGAGGUGGGCGGAAUUCGUGGUGUAGCGGUGAAAUGCUUAGAUAUCACGAAGAACUCCGAUUGCGAAGGCAGCUCACUAGACUGUCACUGACACUGAUGCUCGAAAGUGUGGGUAUCAAACAGGAUUAGAUACCCUGGUAGUCCACACAGUAAACGAUGAAUACUCGCUGUUUGCGAUAUACAGUAAGCGGCCAAGCGAAAGCAUUAAGUAUUCCACCUGGGGAGUACGCCGGCAACGGUGAAACUCAAAGGAAUUGACGGGGGCCCGCACAAGCGGAGGAACAUGUGGUUUAAUUCGAUGAUACGCGAGGAACCUUACCCGGGCUUAAAUUGCAACAGAAUAUAUUGGAAACAGUAUAGCCGUAAGGCUGUUGUGAAGGUGCUGCAUGGGUUGUCGUCAGCUCGUGCCGUGGAGGUGUCGGCUUAAGUGCCAUAACNNAGCGCAACCCUUUAUCUUUUAGUUACUAACAAGGUCAUG
rnacentral:rRNA from 1 species